GAUGAGCGCUGGCGGCGUGCCUAAUACAUGCAAGUCGAGCGGUAAGGCCCCUUCGGGGGUACACGAGCGGCGGACGGCUGAGUAACACGUAGGAACGUACCCCAAAGUGAGGGAUAACUGCUCGAAAGAGUAGCUAAUACCGCAUGUGAUCCACGGAUUAAAGCUUUAUGCGCUUUGGGAACGGCCUGAGUCCGAUUAGCUUGUUGGUGAGGUAAUAGCUCACCAAGGCGAUGAUCGGUAGCUGGUCUGAGAGGAUGAUCAGCCAGACUGGGACUGAGACACGGCCCAGACUCCUACGGGAGGCAGCAGUAGGGAAUUUUCCACAAUGGGCGAAAGCUUGAUGGAGCAACGCCGCGUGCAGGAUGAAUGCCUUAGGGUUGUAAACUGCUUUUAAUAGUGACGAUUAUGACGGUAACUAUUGAAUAAGGACCUGCUAACUACGUGCCAGCCGCCGCGGUAA
rnacentral:rRNA from 1 species